rnacentral:rRNA from 1 species
UUUAUGGAGAGUUUGAUCCUGGCUCAGGAUGAACGCUGGCGGCGUGCCUAAUACAUGCAAGUCGAGCGAACGGACGAGAAGCUUGCUUCUCUGAUGUUAGCGGCGGACGGGUGAGUAACACGUGGAUAACCUACCUAUAAGACUGGGAUAACUCCGGGAAACCGGAGCUAAUACCGGAUAAUAUUUUGAACCGCAUGGUUCAAAAGUGAAAGACGGUCUUGCUGUCACUUAUAGAUGGAUCCGCGCUGCAUUAGCUAGUUGGUAAGGUAACGGCUUACCAAGGCAACGAUGCAUAGCCGACCUGAGAGGGUGAUCGGCCACACUGGAACUGAGACACGGUCCAGACUCCUACGGGAGGCAGCAGUAGGGAAUCUUCCGCAAUGGGCGAAAGCCUGACGGAGCAACGCCGCGUGAGUGAUGAAGGUCUUCGGAUCGUAAAACUCUGUUAUUAGGGAAGAACAUAUGUGUAAGUAACUGUGCACAUCUUGACGGUACCUAAUCAGAAAGCCACGGCUAACUACGUGCCAGCAGCCGCGGUAAUACGUAGGUGGCAAGCGUUAUCCGGAAUUAUUGGGCGUAAAGCGCGCGUAGGCGGUUUUUUAAGUCUGAUGUGAAAGCCCACGGCUCAACCGUGGAGGGUCAUUGGAAACUGGAAAACUUGAGUGCAGAAGAGGAAAGUGGAAUUCCAUGUGUAGCGGUGAAAUGCGCAGAGAUAUGGAGGAACACCAGUGGCGAAGGCGACUUUCUGGUCUGUAACUGACGCUGAUGUGCGAAAGCGUGGGGAUCAAACAGGAUUAGAUACCCUGGUAGUCCACGCCGUAAACGAUGAGUGCUAAGUGUUAGGGGGUUUCCGCCCCUUAGUGCUGCAGCUAACGCAUUAAGCACUCCGCCUGGGGAGUACGACCGCAAGGUUGAAACUCAAAGGAAUUGACGGGGACCCGCACAAGCGGUGGAGCAUGUGGUUUAAUUCGAAGCAACGCGAAGAACCUUACCAAAUCUUGACAUCCUUUGACAACUCUAGAGAUAGAGCUUUCCCCUUCGGGGGACAAAGUGACAGGUGGUGCAUGGUUGUCGUCAGCUCGUGUCGUGAGAUGUUGGGUUAAGUCCCGCAACGAGCGCAACCCUUAAGCUUAGUUGCCAUCAUUAAGUUGGGCACUCUAAGUUGACUGCCGGUGACAAACCGGAGGAAGGUGGGGAUGACGUCAAAUCAUCAUGCCCCUUAUGAUUUGGGCUACACACGUGCUACAAUGGACAAUACAAAGGGCAGCGAAACCGCGAGGUCAAGCAAAUCCCAUAAAGUUGUUCUCAGUUCGGAUUGUAGUCUGCAACUCGACUACAUGAAGCUGGAAUCGCUAGUAAUCGUAGAUCAGCAUGCUACGGUGAAUACGUUCCCGGGUCUUGUACACACCGCCCGUCACACCACGAGAGUUUGUAACACCCGAAGCCGGUGGAGUAACCUUUUAGGAGCUAGCCGUCGAAGGUGGGACAAAUGAUUGGGGUGAAGUCGUAACAAGGUAGCCGUAUCGGAAGGUGCGGCUGGAUCACCUCCUUUCU